rnacentral:rRNA from 1 species
UACGUGAGGGGCGAACGUUGUUCGGUGUCACUGGGCUUAAAGGGUGCGUAGGUGGUUGCGUAAGUAACGUGUGAAAUCCCUCGGCUUACCCGGGGAAUUGCGCGUUAUACUGCGUGACUUGAGGAUUUCAGGGGAAUGGGGAACUCCAGGUGUAGCGGUGAAAUGCGCAGAUAUCAGGAGGAACACCGGUGGCGAAGGCGGGUCUCUGGGCCGAUACUGACGCUGAGGAGCGAAAGCGUGGGGAGCGAACAGG